GUACUACUCCCUCCGUCCCAAAAUAAGUGUCUCAACUUUGUACUAGCUUUAGUACAAAGUUAUACUAAGCUUGAGACACUUAUUUUGGGACGGAGGGAGUACAUA
rnacentral:pre_miRNA from 1 species